rnacentral:rRNA from 1 species
CCUACGGGUGGCAGCAGUGGGGAAUAUUGCGCAAUGCUCGUAAGAGUGACGCAGCGACGCCGCGUGAAUGACGAAGGCCUUCGGGUCGUAAAGUUCUUUUCUAAGGGAAGAAGAAAGUGACGGUACCUUAGGAAUAAGCCUCGGCUAACUACGUGCCAGCAGCCGCGGCGAUACGUAGGAGGCGAGCGUUAUCCGGAAUGACUGGGCGUAAAGGGUGCGUAGGUGGUUUGGCAAGUUAGUAGGGUAACUCCAAGGCUCAACCUUGGAACUACUACUAAAACUGUUGGACUUGAGUGCAGGAGGGGCAACCGGAAUUCCUAGUGUAGCGGUGGAAUGCGUAGAUAUUAGGAGGAACACCAGUGGCGAAGGCGGGUUACUAGACUGUAACUGACACUGAGGCACGAAAGCGUGGGGAGCGAACAGGAUUAGAUACCCCAGUAGUC